CGCUGAAGAGAGGAGCUUGCUCUUCUUGGAUGAGUUGCGAACGGGUGAGUAACGCGUAGGUAACCUGCCUUGUAGCGGGGGAUAACUAUUGGAAACGAUAGCUAAUACCGCAUAACAAUGGAUGACACAUGUCAUUUAUUUGAAAGGGGCAAUUGCUCCACUACAAGAUGGACCUGCGUUGUAUUAGCUAGUAGGUGAGGUAACGGCUCACCUAGGCGACGAUACAUAGCCGACCUGAGAGGGUGAUCGGCCACACUGGGACUGAGACACGGCCCAGACUCCUACGGGAGGCAGCAGUAGGGAAUCUUCGGCAAUGGGGGCAACCCUGACCGAGCAACGCCGCGUGAGUGAAGAAGGUUUUCGGAUCGUAAAGCUCUGUUGUAAGUCAAGAACGAGUGUGAGAGUGGAAAGUUCACACUGUGACGGUAGCUUACCAGAAAGGGACGGCUAACUACGUGCCAGCAGCCGCGGUAAUACGUAGGUCCCGAGCGUUGUCCGGAUUUAUUGGGCGUAAAGCGAGCGCAGGCGGUUUGAUAAGUCUGAAGUUAAAGGCUGUGGCUCAACCAUAGUUCGCUUUGGAAACUGUCAAACUUGAGUGCAGAAGGGGAGAGUGGAAUUCCAUGUGUAGCGGUGAAAUGCGUAGAUAUAUGGAGGAACACCGGUGGCGAAAGCGGCUCUCUGGUCUGUAACUGACGCUGAGGCUCGAAAGCGUGGGGAGCGAACAGGAUUAGAUACCCUGGUAGUCCACGCCGUAAACGAUGAGUGCUAGGUGUUGGAUCCUUUCCGGGAUUCAGUGCCGCAGCUAACGCAUUAAGCACUCCGCCUGGGGAGUACGACCGCAAGGUUGAAACUCAAAGGAAUUGACGGGGGCCCGCACAAGCGGUGGAGCAUGUGGUUUAAUUCGAAGCAACGCGAAGAACCUUACCAGGUCUUGACAUCCCGAUGCUAUUUCUAGAGAUAGAAAGUUACUUCGGUACAUCGGUGACAGGUGGUGCAUGGUUGUCGUCAGCUCGUGUCGUGAGAUGUUGGGUUAAGUCCCGCAACGAGCGCAACCCCUAUUGUUAGUUGCCAUCAUUCAGUUGGGCACUCUAGCGAGACUGCCGGUAAUAAACCGGAGGAAGGUGGGGAUGACGUCAAAUCAUCAUGCCCCUUAUGACCUGGGCUACACACGUGCUACAAUGGUUGGUACAACGAGUUGCGAGUCGGUGACGGCAAGCUAAUCUCUUAAAGCCAAUCUCAGUUCGGAUUGUAGGCUGCAACUCGCCUACAUGAAGUCGGAAUCGCUAGUAAUCGCGGAUCAGCACGCCGCGGUGAAUACGUUCCCGGGCCUUGUACACACCGCCCGUCACACCACGAGAGUUUGUAACACCCGAAGUCGGUGAGGUAACCUU
rnacentral:rRNA from 1 species